rnacentral:rRNA from 1 species
GAUGAACGCUAGCGGCAGGCCUAAUACAUGCAAGUCGAGGGGGCAGCGCGGUAGCAAUACUGGCGGCGACCGGCGCACGGGUGCGUAACACGUAUGCAACCUACCUUCAACUGGAGGAUAGCCCGGGGAAACUCGGAUUAAUACUCCAUAACACAGGGAUCCCGCAUGGGAAUAUUGUUAAAGCUACGGCGGUUGAAGAUGGGCAUGCGUUCGAUUAGCUAGUUGGUGUAGGUAACGGCUCACCAAGGCUACGAUCGAUAGGGGGUCUGAGAGGAUGAUCCCCCACACUGGUACUGAGAUACGGACCAGACUCCUACGGGAGCAGCAGUAGGGAAUAUUGGUCAAUGGGCGCAAGCCUGAACCAGCUAUGCCGCGUGCAGGAAGAAGGCCCU